ensembl:snoRNA SNORA70 Small nucleolar RNA SNORA70
AUGCAAUUAAGCCCACUGUGCUGCCCUCCCCAUGGCGCCUGGUGUGCAGUGGCUGCAAACAGCAGUCUCCUGGGUAGUGUAUGCAGCCUGUUGCUUGUAUAGGCUGCCUUAAGGGACCCUGGAGACAGCC